rnacentral:rRNA from 1 species
AAAAACAAAAACAAUGUAUUCAUAUUCGUCCACGCCUUUUCUGUUCAUUCUCCUUUUAUUAUGCCAUUACGUCUAUCCUGCAGUUGUUGGAAUGGAUUGCCAUCGCCAUGUUGACGCAUACCGUUCAAUUUCUUCUUAUUUUUUUUCUUUUUCAAUAACAUUUCGUCCUCUUCUUCAUCUUCAUUAAACUCUUUCAACAAACGCCGUUUCCUGGCUUCAUCGGCAAGACUACGAUCCACUGAAUUCAUUUCACCAGUCCAACUUUUCACUGAAGGUCCCAAAGCGCAGCCAGUGUAACUUUUCAAAUGUUUCAGCAAAUCAGCAUGAUUAUCGCUAAGGCUACUGCUACUGUUCGACCGCUGUUGCUUAAUGAGGGAGUUGCUUCGGCUCGACGAUUUUGAUGCAGAUACAUCCCGACUAGUGAAAAAUCGUUUUGGUUUUUCGGCAUGUUGCUUUGAAUGCUCUUCCUCCAUUUUCACAGAGAAGAUAUCUCUGCAAUCGUUGUCAUUAUCAUCAUCAUUAUCACUGGGAAGAUUACCAGCGCAUAAAUUCGACGAUUGAAGAGUUUUGAGCGUGAGCUCGCUCGGAGCCGCUGUUGGUGCAGAUCUUGGUGGUAGUAGCAAAUAUUCAAGUGAGAACCUUGAAGGCUGAAGUGGAGCAAGGUUCCAUGUGAACAGCAGUUGGACAUGGGUCAGUCGAUCCUAAGAAAACGGCGAAAGCUUGUUCGAAUUUGCGACAUGAAUUGUAAGACUGUGUGUGUUUAUUGUGUGUGCAGUUGUCGUAUGUUUUCGAAAGGGAAUCCGGUUGAUAUUCCGGAACCGAGUAACGGAGACAAAGAGUAGCGCUUUAAUCUCUCUGUGGGGUUGGCGUUCAACUCAAUCGCGCGGUAACGCAAGCGAACUCGGAAAAUGACCGUCGUGAGUUUCGAAAAGAGUUUUCUUUUCUUUUUAAGGGACGCAUUCCCUGGAACCGGGUUGUCCGGAGAUAGGGAUUCUGGUAUCCAUAAAACGCCGACUUUUUCACGGUGUUCGGAGCGCUCUCGUCGGUACGUGAAAAUCCGAGCGACGCCUGGUAAAUCUCGUACUUGGUCGUACUGAUAUCCGCAGCAGGUCCCCAAGGUGAAUAGCCUCUGGCCGAUAGAAUAAUGUAGGUAAGGGAAGUCGGCAAAACGGAUCCGUAACUUCGGAACAAGGAUUGGCUCUAAGGGCUGGGCCGAUCGGGCUGAGGUUUCAAGCGUGCAGUGUAUGCUUGGCUGAGUUGUGUUGAGGACUUGUUCACUUGCCGCCGUUUGUUCGGUUGGUCUAGUGUAUUCGAGUCUGAAGCAGAGCUGGCCGACAGACCGGCACGUGCAGAACCUGAGCUGCGCGGCUGUCCGUUUACGUGUACAGACCGUUUCGGUCGGCAUUCAACAGCCAACUUAGAACUGGCACGGACACAAGGAAUCUGACUGUAUAAUUAAAACAAAGCAUUGCGAUGGCCGAUGAUCGGUGAUGACGCAAUGUGAUUUCUGCCCAGUGCUCUGAAUGUCAAAGUGAAGAAAUUCAAUCAAGCGCGGGUAAACGGCGGGAGUAACUAUGACUCUCUUAAGGUAGCCAAAUGCCUCGUCAUCUAAUUAGUGACGCGUAUGAAUGGAUCAACAAGAUUCCUUCUGUCCCUAUCUACUAUCUAGCGAAACCACAGCCAAGGGAACGGGCUUGGCAAAAUCAGCGGGGAAAGAAGACCCUGUUGAGCUUGACUCUAGUCUGACUCUGUGAAGAGACAUGAAAGGUGUAGCAUAGGUGGGAGAUUGUCAAAUUGCCAUCGUUCGCGCGGUGGUCCGGUGAUCGCCAAUGAAAUACCACUACUUUGAUCGUUUCUUUACUUAUUCGGUAAAGCGAAAAAAUUGUGGCCAAUUUGGCGGUGUUUAUGUCGCUGUUGGUCAUUGUUUUCAUGUUAGAUUGAAGCUUUGUUUACAGCCGUCGCUUUGUGUCGCCAUUUGACGCAUUGUUGUACUGGGUUAUCCCGGUGUGUGGUGUAGUCAGUAUGGAUGAUCGGCGAUAGGUUUGAAGUGAUUCGCUCCGGAAACAGUGUCAGACGGGGAGUUUGACUGGGGCGGUACAUCUGUUAAACGAUAACGCAGGUGUCCUAAGGUAAGCUCAGCGAGGACAGAAACCUCGCUUAGAGUAAACGGGCACAAGCUUACUUGAUUUUGAUUUCCAGUACGAAUAGAAACCGCGAAAGCGUGGCCUAUCGAUCCUUUUGAUUGUGUAGAUUUCAUGCAAGAGGUGUCAGAAAAGUUACCACAGGGAUAACUGGCUUGUGGCAGCCAAGCGUCCAUAGCGACGUUGCUUUUUGAUCCUUCGAUGUCGGCUCUUCCUAUCAUUGCGAAGCAGAAUUCGCCAAGCGUUGGAUUGUUCACCCACCAAUAGGGAACGUGAGCUGGGAUUAGACCGUCGUGAGACAGGUUAGUUUUACCCUACUGAUGACAAGUCGUUGCGAUAGUAAUCCUGCUCAGUACGAGAGGAACCGCGGGAUCAGACAUUUGGUUCAUGCGCUCGGCUGAAAGGCCGGUGGCGCGAAGCUAGCAUCUGCAAGAUUAUGACUGAACGCCUCUAAGUCAGAAUCUUUUCUAGUCAUUGGCAACGAUAAGUUGCGUCCAGACUCGAUGCGAGGAAACGAUUAGGCUUUGCUAUACGGCGAAGCCAUUAUCAGACCACGGUAGCAGGCAGUAUGGGAUUGUUACGAAAAAGCAAUUUUUUGAAGUCAGUUGAAUUCAAUCAAACUGCUAACAAUUCCACUGCGAAUGACUCCAUUCGAAUCAAUCGAAGCACAGCGGUCAGGAUGUCGAACAUUUUGCAGACGACAAAAAUACCGGUUCAGGUGUCGUAAUCAGUAGAGCAGUCAACACACUGCGAUCUGAUGAGACUCAUCCUUGUAAUCGAUUUGCUCGUCGC